AGUUUGAUCCUGGCUCAGGACGAACGCUGGCGGCGUGCCUAAUACAUGCAAGUCGAGCGGACAGAUGGGAGCUUGCUCCCUGAUGUUAGCGGCGGACGGGUGAGUAACACGUGGGUAACCUGCCUGUAAGACUGGGAUAACUCCGGGAAACCGGGGCUAAUACCGGAUGGUUGUUUGAACCGCAUGGUUCAAACAUAAAAGGUGGCUUCGGCUACCACUUACAGAUGGACCCGCGGCGCAUUAGCUAGUUGGUGAGGUAAYGGCUCACCAAGGCRACGAUGCGUAGCCGACCUGAGAGGGUGAUCGGCCACACUGGGACUGAGACACGGCCCAGACUCCUACGGGAGGCAGCAGUAGGGAAUCUUCCGCAAUGGACGAAAGUCUGACGGAGCAACGCCGCGUGAGUGAUGAAGGUUUUCGGAUCGUAAAGCUCUGUUGUUAGGGAAGAACAAGURCCGUUCGAAYAGGGCGGUACCUUGACGGUACCUAACCAGAAAGCCACGGCUAACUACGUGCCAGCAGCCGCGGUAAUACGUAGGUGGCAAGCGUUGUCCGGAAUUAUUGGGCGUAAAGGGCUCGCAGGCGGUUUCUUAAGUCUGAUGUGAAAGCCCCCGGCUCAACCGGGGAGGGUCAUUGGAAACUGGGGAACUUGAGUGCAGAAGAGGAGAGUGGAAUUCCACGUGUAGCGGUGAAAUGCGUAGAGAUGUGGAGGAACACCAGUGGCGAAGGCGACUCUCUGGUCUGUAACUGACGCUGAGGAGCGAAAGCGUGGGGAGCGAACAGGAUUAGAUACCCUGGUAGUCC
rnacentral:rRNA from 1 species